rnacentral:rRNA from 1 species
GGUUUGAUCAUGGCUCAGAUUGAACGCUGGCGGGAUGCUUCCCACAUGCAAGUCGAACGGCAGCGCAGGCUUCGGUCUGGUGGCGAGUGGCGAACGGGUGAGUAACAUCGGAACGUGCCCUAGUAGCGGGGAUAACUACGCGAAAGCGUAGCUAAUGCCAUACGCCCUUCUCGGGAAAACAGGGGACCUUCGGGCCUCGCACUAUUAGAAACGGCCGAUAUCGGAUUAGCUAGUUGAGGUGGGGGUAACGGCUCGCAAGGCGACGAUCCGUAGCUGGUUUCAGAGAGGACGACCAGCCACACUGGGACUGAGACGGCCAGACUCCUAGGAGGCAGCAGUGGGGGAAUUUUGGACAAUGGGAAACCCUGAUCCAGCCAUCCCGCGUGUGCGAUGAAGGCCUUCGGGUUGUAAAGCACUUUUGGCGGAAAGAAACGGCACGGGAUAAUACCCGUGCAACUGACGGUACCUGCAGAAUAAGCACCGGCCCCAACUACGUGCCAGCAGCCGCGGUAUUACGUGGGUGCAGCGUUGUCGAGAUUACAGGGCGUAAGCGUGCGCGGGCGGUUCGGAAAGAAAGAUGUGAAAUCCCAGGCGCCAACUUUUUGGAACUGCAUUUUUAACUACCGAGAGCUAGAGUGUGUCAGAGGAGGUGGAAUUCCGCGUGUAGCAGAGUGAAAUGCAUGAAUAUGCGGAGACACCGAUAGCGAAAAACGGCCUCCUGGGAUAACACUGACGCUCGGCAAAAGCAGGGGCAUAGAGCGGGAUUUAAGAUACCUGGUAGUCCUUACAAACGAUGUCAACUAGCUGUUGGGGCCUUCCCGGGCCUUAGUAGCGCAGCUAACACUUGCGAUGAAGUUGACGCCUGGGGAAAUUACGGUCGCAAGAUUAAAACUCCAAAGAGAUUGACGGGGACCCGCACAAGCGGUGGAUGAUGUGGAUUAGUUCGGUGCAACGCGAAAGACCUUACCUGCCCCUUGACAUGUCUGGAAUCGAAGAGAUUUUGGUGCUCGCAAGAGAACCGGAACACAGGUGCUGCAUGGCUGUCGAUCAGCUCGUGUCGUGAGAUGUUGGGUUAAGUCCCGCAACGGGCGCAGCCAUAUGCGUGGGUGUGCCGAGGGCGCUCUAAUGAGACUGCCGGUGACAAACCGGAGGAAGGUGGGAUAGCGUCAAGUCCUCAUGGCCCUUAUGGGUAGGGCUUCACACGUCAUACAAUGGUCAGGACAGAGGGUCGCCAACCCGCGAGGGAGCCAGUCCCCAGAAACCCGAUCGUAGUCCGGAUCGCAGUCUGCAAACUCAUUGCGUGAAGUCGGAAUCUUCAGUAAUCGCGGAUCAGCAUGUCGCGGUGAAUACGUUCGGGUCUUGUACACACCG